rnacentral:rRNA from 1 species
GGUUAAGCGACUAAGCGUACACGGUGGAUGCCCUGGCAGUCAGAGGCGAUGAAGGACGUGCUAAUCUGCGAUAAGCGUCGGUAAGGUGAUAUGAACCGUUAUAACCGGCGAUUUCCGAAUGGGGAAACCCAGUGUGAUUCGUCACACUAUCAUUAACUGAAUCCAUAGGUUAAUGAGGCGAACCGGGGGAACUGAAACAUCUAAGUACCCCGAGGAAAAGAAAUCAACCGAGAUUCCCCCAGUAGCGGCGAGCGAACGGGGAGCAGCCCAGAGCCUGAAUCAGUGUGUGUGUUAGUGGAAGCGUCUGGAAAGGCGCGCGAUACAGGGUGACAGCCCCGUACACAAAAAUGCACAUACUGUGAGCUCGAUGAGUAGGGCGGGACACGUGGUAUCCUGUCUGAAUAUGGGGGGACCAUCCUCCAAGGCUAAAUACUCCUGACUGACCGAUAGUGAACCAGUACCGUGAGGGAAAGGCGAAAAGAACCCCGGCGAGGGGAGUGAAAAAGAACCUGAAACCGUGUACGUACAAGCAGUGGGAGCACAGAGCAAUCUGUGUGACUGCGUACCUUUUGUAUAAUGGGUCAGCGACUUAUAUUCUGUAGCAAGGUUAACCGAAUAGGGGAGCCGAAGGGAAACCGAGUCUUAACUGGGCGUUAAGUUGCAGGGUAUAGACCCGAAACCCGGUGAUCUAGCCAUGGGCAGGUUGAAGGUUGGGUAACACUAACUGGAGGACCGAACCGACUAAUGUUGAAAAAUUAGCGGAUGACUUGUGGCUGGGGGUGAAAGGCCAAUCAAACCGGGAGAUAGCUGGUUCUCCCCGAAAGCUAUUUAGGUAGCGCCUCGUGAAUUCAUCUCCGGGGGUAGAGCACUGUUUCGGCAAGGGGGUCAUCCCGACUUACCAACCCGAUGCAAACUGCGAAUACCGGAGAAUGUUAUCACGGGAGACACACGGCGGGUGCUAACGUCCGUCGUGAAGAGGGAAACAACCCAGACCGCCAGCUAAGGUCCCAAAGUCAUGGUUAAGUGGGAAACGAUGUGGGAAGGCCCAGACAGCCAGGAUGUUGGCUUAGAAGCAGCCAUCAUUUAAAGAAAGCGUAAUAGCUCACUGGUCGAGUCGGCCUGCGCGGAAGAUGUAACGGGGCUAAACCAUGCACCGAAGCUGCGGCAGCGACGCUUAUGCGUUGUUGGGUAGGGGAGCGUUCUGUAAGCCUGCGAAGGUGUGCUGUGAGGCAUGCUGGAGGUAUCAGAAGUGCGAAUGCUGACAUAAGUAACGAUAAAGCGGGUGAAAAGCCCGCUCGCCGGAAGACCAAGGGUUCCUGUCCAACGUUAAUCGGGGCAGGGUGAGUCGACCCCUAAGGCGAGGCCGAAAGGCGUAGUCGAUGGGAAACAGGUUAAUAUUCCUGUACUUGGUGUUACUGCGAAGGGGGGACGGAGAAGGCUAUGUUGGCCGGGCGACGGUUGUCCCGGUUUAAGCGUGUAGGCUGGUUUUCCAGGCAAAUCCGGAAAAUCAAGGCUGAGGCGUGAUGACGAGGCACUACGGUGCUGAAGCAACAAAUGCCCUGCUUCCAGGAAAAGCCUCUAAGCAUCAGGUAACAUCAAAUCGUACCCCAAACCGACACAGGUGGUCAGGUAGAGAAUACCAAGGCGCUUGAGAGAACUCGGGUGAAGGAACUAGGCAAAAUGGUGCCGUAACUUCGGGAGAAGGCACGCUGAUAUGUAGGUGAAGUCCCUCGCGGAUGGAGCUGAAAUCAGUCGAAGAUACCAGCUGGCUGCAACUGUUUAUUAAAAACACAGCACUGUGCAAACACGAAAGUGGACGUAUACGGUGUGACGCCUGCCCGGUGCCGGAAGGUUAAUUGAUGGGGUUAGCGCAAGCGAAGCUCUUGAUCGAAGCCCCGGUAAACGGCGGCCGUAACUAUAACGGUCCUAAGGUAGCGAAAUUCCUUGUCGGGUAAGUUCCGACCUGCACGAAUGGCGUAAUGAUGGCCAGGCUGUCUCCACCCGAGACUCAGUGAAAUUGAACUCGCUGUGAAGAUGCAGUGUACCCGCGGCAAGACGGAAAGACCCCGUGAACCUUUACUAUAGCUUGACACUGAACAUUGAGCCUUGAUGUGUAGGAUAGGUGGGAGGCUUUGAAGUGUGGACGCCAGUCUGCAUGGAGCCGACCUUGAAAUACCACCCUUUAAUGUUUGAUGUUCUAACGUUGACCCGUAAUCCGGGUUGCGGACAGUGUCUGGUGGGUAGUUUGACUGGGGCGGUCUCCUCCUAAAGAGUAACGGAGGAGCACGAAGGUUGGCUAAUCCUGGUCGGACAUCAGGAGGUUAGUGCAAUGGCAUAAGCCAGCUUGACUGCGAGCGUGACGGCGCGAGCAGGUGCGAAAGCAGGUCAUAGUGAUCCGGUGGUUCUGAAUGGAAGGGCCAUCGCUCAACGGAUAAAAGGUACUCCGGGGAUAACAGGCUGAUACCGCCCAAGAGUUCAUAUCGACGGCGGUGUUUGGCACCUCGAUGUCGGCUCAUCACAUCCUGGGGCUGAAGUAGGUCCCAAGGGUAUGGCUGUUCGCCAUUUAAAGUGGUACGCGAGCUGGGUUUAGAACGUCGUGAGACAGUUCGGUCCCUAUCUGCCGUGGGCGCUGGAGAACUGAGGGGGGCUGCUCCUAGUACGAGAGGACCGGAGUGGACGCAUCACUGGUGUUCGGGUUGUCAUGCCAAUGGCACUGCCCGGUAGCUAAAUGCGGAAGAGAUAAGUGCUGAAAGCAUCUAAGCACGAAACUUGCCCCGAGAUGAGUUCUCCCUGACCCUUUAAGGGUCCUGAAGGAACGUUGAAGACGACGACGUUGAUAGGCCGGGUGUGUAAGCGCAGCGAUGCGUUGAGCUAACCGGUACUAAUGAACCGUGAGGCUUAACCUU